rfam:Erinaceus europaeus unplaced genomic scaffold scaffold00473, whole genome shotgun sequence
AAAAAAAAAUUGUUGAUUAGAGGAGUUCCUCUGAAUGUGUAGGGCACCCAAAUCCAUGAGGAGAAGGUAUAUAGCAUUCUCUUCUGAUCGUGAAGUUGACUCUAGGUGUUGCUACUUGCAACUGCCUCUUGCCAUUGAUGACCGUUCUGCUCUCCCCCUAUGGAGGGCUAGAGGGAGAGGAUGCCUUCUGAGUGGA